rnacentral:lncRNA from 1 species
UUGAGUCAAAGACCGGGGCGCACAAGUGAGGCAGGCCUCUCGCCAGUGGACGCCUGGAGAGGGCUGAGCGGUUGCCAUCCCUGCCCUGUGGGGGAGACUAGUGGGGUCCUUUAGGGAGAGCUGGCCACCCUGGGUGUCUGACCGAGGCCGAUACGGAACAGAGGCCCUGCCAGCUAGAGGUGGACAUGUCACAGGAGUGAGAAACCCACCCUUCUGUUCUUAAGCCACUUGUUGGCAACUUUCUCAGGCAGAGAAUGAAGACUUUAGGCUCGUCACAGGCCCUUGACUCUGCUGUAGACAAUGUGUGAGAGAAGGCAUGCUUGUGGCUGUGUUCUGAUGAAACUGUAUUUAUAAAGUGAAGUGGCCAGCUGGCAGGCCUUAAAUUUUUCACCCCAUUCGAAACCUUGAGGACUGGGGGUUUGUGUGUUUUCGCACCAUGACCUGGCCACACUGACGAUGGCAGGUCCAUUCGUGACCUUGCCUGUCUAGGUAAUGGAACCUGCCUAUGUGUGUGGAAUGCAUCUGACUUUGUCUGAAGAUCUGUGAUUUUUCCUCUUGGAUCCUCUUCCCACCCUUCUCCCAGCUCUCUGUCCUGGGAUAUUGGCCUUUAGGGACCUUGUCGGUGACUUUGCCUGGAAAGGUGACUUCACUCCUCUCGGGCGUCCAGCUGGAUCUGGCCCGUGGAGAGCACUGUCAGGACAGGCGAGGACAGAAGAUGAGAUCCACAGCGAUGCCUGCCUCCGAGCCAGCCUGGUGAAGUCAGCACCAGCAAAUGGCCCACACUCGCCAUGCCCUCCACAUGGCCCAGAAGAUGGGGCAUCUGGACGUGAACAGCCCUUGGGCAGGGUGGGGACUGGAGUGCUCCCCACCAACCUGGGCCCCUGCAAGAAUAAAGAUUUCACAAAUGAG